rnacentral:rRNA from 1 species
CCUACGGGAGGCAGCAGUGGGGAAUAUUGGGCAAUGGGCGCAAGCCUGACCCAGCAACGCCGCGUGAAGGAAGAAGGCUUUCGGGUUGUAACCUUCUUUUAAGAGGGAAGAGCAGAAGACGGUACCUCUUGAAUUAGCCACGGCUAACUACGUGCCAGCAGCCGCCGCAAUACGUAGGUGGCAAGGGUUGUCCGGAUUUACUGGGUGGAAAGGGCGUGUAGGCGGGAAGACAAGUCAGUUGUGAAAUCCCGCGGCUCAACCGCGGAACUGCAUGUGAAACUGUUUUUCUUGAGUACAGGAGAGGUCAGCGGAAUUCGUUGGGUAGCGGUGAAAUGCUUAGAUAUCACGAAGAACUCCGAUUGCGAAGGCAGAUUACUAAACUGCCACUGACAUUGAUGCUCGAAAGUGUGGGUAUCAAACAGGAUUAGAUACCCCAGUAGUC